CACAACCUUUAUAUAUGUUAUGUAUUAUCAUAAAAUACAACUCUCAUUUCAAUAUUAAGAAUGAACACGAAUGCGGCCACUUUCAUUUAAGACGGAAACCGUCUAAAAUUUAACUAAAAUGCUAAAAUUGUGAAGAUUUCAGUAAUUUAGCAUGACUUUUUGAUGCUGGCACCCGAUAUAUGUGCAUUGUAUUGUCAAAAACAGCCCAUAUUUAUGUAGCAGAAGCAUUUUACUUUCCAAUGAAUAACUAAAAGUUUACAUCUUAACAAUUUUGUAAAACUGCUAUAUUUUGGGGCCAAAAAGGGGGCUUACUGAACCUACUCCUUUACUUCUGGAUACUAUCUUAUGAUCAUAAACAAGCUUCUGUCCAAGUUUGGUAGAAAUCCAGUUCAGUUUAAGAAAGUUAUUAAAAUUUCAAAACUUUAACCAUAGAGUGAAUAUUUGUGGACGCCGGUGACGCUGUCGACGCAACCAGAAUGUAGGAUCGCUA
rnacentral:lncRNA from 1 species